AUACGGAGGGUGCAAGCGUUAAUCGGAAUUACUGGGCGUAAAGGGCGCGUAGGUGGUUAGGUCAGUCGGAUGUAAAAGCCCCGGGCUCAACCUGGGAAUGCCAUUCGAUACUGCCUAGCUAGAGUAUGGUAGAGGGAAGCGGAAUUCCGGGUGUAGCGGUGAAAUGCGUAGAUAUCCGGAGGAACACCAGUGGCGAAGGCGGCUUCCUGGAUCAAUACUGACACUGAGGCGCGAAAGCGUGGGGAGCAAACAGGAUUAGAAACCCCAGUAGUCC
rnacentral:rRNA from 1 species